UACGUAGGGGGCAAGCGUUGUCCGGAUUCAUUGGGCGUAAAGCGCGUGUAGGCGGCCAGGUAGGUCCGGUGUGAAAACUCGAGGCUCAACCUCGAGAGGUCAUCGGAAACCAUCUGGCUAGAGUCCGGAAGAGGAGAGUGGAAUUCCCGGUGCAGCGGUGAAAUGCGCAGAUAUCGGGAAGAACACCCAUGGCGAAGGCAGCUCUCUGGGACGGUACUGACGCUGAGACGCGAAAGCGUGGGGAGCGAACAGG
rnacentral:rRNA from 1 species